UCUGAACUAUUAUUAUUAAACUAUAUUGUUGACAUAUCAUGUGAUAAAAUAAAUAAAAUGCCUAAAAAUAUCACGAUACUCUGAAUAAAAAAAGUUACAAAUUAAGUUGUCAAAAACAUCAAGAGUCUCUACAAGUCUGCAAAUACUUUAUCAUACAUAUGGCUAACAAAAGGCAUCUGAAUAUAAGGAGUUUACAAGACCAUUGCAACAGUUAGAGCUAACAAGAGUCAUAUGCCUACUUCUAAGCCUUAUUCUAACAAAAUAAGAUAAAGAAUAAGAAUUUCAAUAGUAUUGUCUCAUUUGGCAGAGAAGCCUCUUCCAUCUCUUUUCUGCAAAUGUCACUUAAACCAAAGUUGUUGCUUCUUUUUCUUUUUCCCUGGCCUGACAAUAAAUUUUCAUGUGACGGACCAUAUUAUUCACCAAAAAAAAUCUCAGAGAAAUAAAUAUCCUUAUAUACAACACCACAAAUAAGUGAUUUAACAUAAAUGUAGUAAUAUACUUAUCAAAAUUUUGCUAAGAUUCUUUCUAGUCAUGAUUGAAUAAGGGUUUUAUUUAAAAAGAAAAUGAGUACGAAUUAUAACUUAGCAAAAUAUAAGUAUGACAAAUACUGAUUUAUCUACUACCAAUAAAAGCACUCUUGCUAGGUAUAAGAUCAAACGUAAAAUACAGAAAGAGGAGAAAAGAAAAGAAGAAGAAAAAUGUGUAGUCUCUAUAGACUUUUUCCUAAAAAGAACGAGGAUUCUCACCGAAUCACAUUGGUGCUAAAUACAUCUGCUCCUUGUGAUGGCUUAGAAAAAAGCUGAGUUGACAUGGCGACAAGCAUGGAUCUAAGCAACUCGUAAAUUUGUAAAAGAUAUACCUCCGAACUAGGAAUGAGUUCUUGAAGCCCCCUCAUCCAAGAGGACCAAGACAAUUUCCAAAUAAAACGAAAGGCCUCAGUUGGUGAUACAUAAAAGAAAGGAAGAGCAAUAUGCCAACCAUAUAUUCAUAUGCUUAAAGCAUUAAGCGGAUGAUUUAUUUACUCUUUCACUAUUCAUAAUUCAUGUGAUAGACACUAAUAAAGUUAACUAUUAAGAGAAAACAAAAGGAGAAUUUGCUUUAGACAUUUAAAGUAGAAUAAAUAGAGGACAGAGAGACCUACAUAGGAGGAUAUUACCUCAAGACAUCUAUAAAUGGCCUAAUUAUUUAAAACCUCCCAUUCGCCCCAUCGCCAACAUAAUAUAUUUAAAACAAAAUGC
rnacentral:lncRNA from 1 species